rnacentral:rRNA from 1 species
AAACAAGGAAUUCCCCUAAGUAACCGUCCGAAUUGAAGCGGGAAGAGCUCCAAAUUUGAAAUCUGGUAGCCUUUCGGCUGCCCGAGUUGUAAUCUAGAGAAGUGUUUUCCGUGCCGGCCCAUGUACAAGUCCCUUGGAACAGGGCGUCAUAGAGGGUGAGAAUCCCGUCCUUGACAUGGACCCCCGGUGCUUUGUGAUACACUUUCAACGAGUCGAGUUGUUUGGGAAUGCAGCUCAAAAUGGGUGGUGAAUUCCAUCUAAAGCUAAAUAUUGGCGAGAGACCGAUAGCGAACAAGUACCGUGAGGGAAAGAUGAAAAGCACUUUGGAAAGAGAGUUAAACAGUACGUGAAAUUGUUGAAAGGGAAACGAUUGAAGUCAGUCAUGCUCUUUGGAUUCAGCCGUUCUGCGGUGUAUUUCCAUUGAGUGGGGUCAACAUCAGUUUUGACCGCUGGAUAAAGGCACUAGGAAGGUAGCACUCUCGGGUGAACUUAUAGCCUAGCGUCAUAUACAGUGGUUGGGACUGAGGAACGCAGCAUGCCUUUAUGGCCGGGAUUCGUCCACGUACAUGCUUAGGAUGUUGACAUAAUGCAG